rnacentral:piRNA from 1 species
UGGCUCAAAAUUGUCACCAAGGCUAAAG